rnacentral:rRNA from 2 species
GACGAACGCUGGCGGCGUGCCUAAUACAUGCAAGUCGAACGAACUCUGGUAUUGAUUGGUGCUUGCAUCAUGAUUUACAUUUGAGUGAGUGGCGAACUGGUGAGUAACACGUGGGAAACCUGCCCAGAAGCGGGGGAUAACACCUGGAAACAGAUGCUAAUACCGCAUAACAACUUGGACCGCAUGGUCCGAGCUUGAAAGAUGGCUUCGGCUAUCACUUUUGGAUGGUCCCGCGGCGUAUUAGCUAGAUGGUGGGGUAACGGCUCACCAUGGCAAUGAUACGUAGCCGACCUGAGAGGGUAAUCGGCCACAUUGGGACUGAGACACGGCCCAAACUCCUACGGGAGGCAGCAGUAGGGAAUCUUCCACAAUGGACGAAAGUCUGAUGGAGCAACGCCGCGUGAGUGAAGAAGGGUUUCGGCUCGUAAAACUCUGUUGUUAAAGAAGAACAUAUCUGAGAGUAACUGUUCAGGUAUUGACGGUAUUUAACCAGAAGGCCACGGCUAACUACGUGCCAGCAGCCGCGGUAAUACGUAGGUGGCAAGCGUUGUCCGGAUUUAUUGGGCGUAAAGCGAGCGCAGGCGGUUUUUUAAGUCUGAUGUGAAAGCCUUCGGCUCAACCGAAGAAGUGCAUCGGAAACUGGGAAACUUGAGUGCAGAAGAGGACAGUGGAACUCCAUGUGUAGCGGUGAAAUGCGUAGAUAUAUGGAAGAACACCAGUGGCGAAGGCGGCUGUCUGGUCUGUAACCGACGCUGAGGCUCGAAAGUAUGGGUAGCAAACAGGAUUAGAUACCCUGGUAGUCCAUACCGUAAACGAUGAAUGCUAAGUGUUGGAGGGUUUCCGCCCUUCAGUGCUGCAGCUAACGCAUUAAGCAUUCCGCCUGGGGAGUACGGCCGCAAGGCUGAAACUCAAAGGAAUUGACGGGGGCCCGCACAAGCGGUGGAGCAUGUGGUUUAAUUCGAAGCUACGCGAAGAACCUUACCAGGUCUUGACAUACUAUGCAAAUCUAAGAGAUUAGACGUUCCCUUCGGGGACAUGGAUACAGGUGGUGCAUGGUUGUCGUCAGCUCGUGUCGUGAGAUGUUGGGUUAAGUCCCGCAACGAGCGCAACCCUUAUUAUCAGUUGCCAGCAUUAAGUUGGGCACUCUGGUGAGACUGCCGGUGACAAACCGGAGGAAGGUGGGGAUGACGUCAAAUCAUCAUGCCCCUUAUGACCUGGGCUACACACGUGCUACAAUGGAUGGUACAACGAGUUGCGAACUCGCGAGAGUAAGCUAAUCUCUUAAAGCCAUUCUCAGUUCGGAUUGUAGGCUGCAACUCGCCUACAUGAAGUCGGAAUCGCUAGUAAUCGCGGAUCAGCAUGCCGCGGUGAAUACGUUCCCGGGCCUUGUACACACCGCCCGUCACACCAUGAGAGUUUGUAACACCCAAAGUCGGUGGGGUAACCUUUUAGGAACCAGCCGCCUAAGGUGGGACAGAUGAUUAGGGUG